rnacentral:rRNA from 1 species
UGGGGAAUAUUGGACAAUGGGGGAAACCCUGAUCCAGCAAUGCCGCGUGAGUGAGGAAGGCCUUAGGGUUGUAAAGCUCUUUCGCGCGCGACGAUGAUGACGGUAGCGCGAGAAGAAGCCCCGGCUAACUUCGUGCCAGCAGCCGCGGUAAUACGAAGGGGGCGAGCGUUGUUCGGAUUUACUGGGCGUAAAGGGCGCGUAGGCGGCCAUCUUUGUCAGGCGUGAAAGCCCCGGGCUCAACCUGGGAACUGCGUCUGGGACGGGGUGGCUAGAGAUCGGGAGAGGAGCGUGGAAUUCCCAGUGUAGAGGUGAAAUUCGUAGAUAUUGGGAAGAACACCGGUGGCGAAGGCGGCGCUCUGGACCGAGACUGACGCUGAGGCGCGAAAGCGUGGGGAGCAAACAG